UGGGAUUGUAAACACGCGCUGCCAUGCCCAUGUGACAGAGAUCAUUUAACAUAGCAUUUUAAGAAUUUGCUCUUUGGAUCCUUGGGAUCCGAAGCUACUCCUCUUCCAGCCCAAACAAACCUAAUGAGUAAACCAAAGGUGACUGUUUGCAUCUUAGUGGCCUGAAGGGGUGGGGGAGGGGAAAGGCAGGGUUCACCUUCACUGAAACGUUCAGAAAUCUACCUUGCAGGUCAUUAACUUCCUCAGGAGCAAGGGGCCAGGAGCCCUGGAGAAUUACCCGUGGAAGUCUGAGUUAUUAGAAGAAGCAAAGCAGACCACCGGGGAGCCAGAUAGAUAGAGAUCUUAUCUACCGAUAGAGAUGGGACUGGGUUCACACUCUAGCUACGCCAGCUGCGUGGCCGGGAGGAAGCCAAAGUCUCUUGUACCCCAGAUUUCCACACCACCAAGGUGGAGGCACACUAUUCCCUUUUGUCAAGAUUUAAGAGAGCCUAUGAAGUGCCUUAGUUUUGUAGGUUCCUAUAGGGUGCAGCAACUAUACCCCUGCCUGUGGAAGACAGGAAGGAGACUAGCUUGUGUUCAGGAUUCACCUUGGACAUCAGAAAUGAGGUGAGACAGCUAGGACCACCUGACAGCACAUUUGGGGUAUUACAAAGAGCAGCCAGUGCUCCUAACCGCUGAGCCAUCUCUCCUGCCCCGAUGAGAGGUUUUAUCAUCUGGGUUUUGGAGACAGGUCUCCCAUUUGCAAGGUUGGUCAUGACUUUUCCUCUUUCUGAGGAUGAGCUGAACUUGUGUCCUUCCUAUUUUUGUUUUGUUUUGUGUGUUUGAGACAGUGUUUCCCUUUAUAGCCUUGGCUGUCCCUGAACUCACAGAAAUCUGCCUGCCUCUGCCUCCCAAAUGCCAGGAUUAAAGGUGUGAACAACCACCAGCUGGCUACCUCUUAGGUACUGUGACCAAGUGUGAACACACUACCACACCCAGCUAUUCGGUGCUAGGGAUCAAACCCAAACCCAGUGCUUCAUGCUUGCUACGAAAACACGCUGCCAACUGAGCUACAUCCCAACCUGAUUUGAGGAGUUUGGAUCAUUUCUUUUUGACAGGGUCUCACUGUGUAAUACUGGCUGGCCUGGCUCAUCAUGUAGACCAGGCUGCCCAGACUAACAUCUUAAAAGAUCCACCUGCCUCAGCCUUCCAAGUGCUUAAAUUAAAAGGCAUGAAUCACCACCUGACUUGAAGGUUUUUUGUUUUUUAAGAUUUUUAUUUUUAUUUGUGUGUAUGCCAUGUGUGUGAAGGUACCCCUGGAAGUCAGAAGGGGGCAUCAGACUCCCUGAAGCUGGAGUAAGAAGCCCAGCCAACUCCAACACACACACACACACACACACACACACACACACACACACACACACACACACAUACACACACAUACACACAUAUACACACACAAACACACAUACACACACAAACACACAUACAAACACACACACAUACACACACAAACACACAUACACACACACACACACACACACACACACACACACACACACACACAUGAGUGCUGGGAACCCAACUCCAGUCCCCUGCAAGAGCAGCAGCAGGUGCUCUUACUGAGGCAUCUUUCUAACCCCUCGAUCUGAAUUUUCAAAAACGAAAUAUUUCAUGUUCUGCUGCAGACGCCAACCACCACACUCAAUAUCGUGUCCGUCGGGGGUUCUUGAAGACCUGCCAUUUACCAGCUUUGUUCCGAUUGGUCACCUCAUUUGUACAAAGGGACAAUAGUUCUGAAUCUUGAGGUUGCAGCAAGAGGCAGCCACUCUAGGGACUGAGUUGUCAGUGUAUGGUGAUCGAUCAGCACUAAACCAGAGCAGAAAGUGCCUUGUGGAGGAACUUACUCUGCGAACAUGGCAGGAAGACGCUUCAGACCCUGCUCCACAGAGCCGUGAGCCUUGAACCUGCUCACUUACACAGGGUUUGCCCAGGAUAAACCCCUUGGUUCCUAAACCGGUCCUGGGCCAAUCUACUGUCAGUUUCCCAGGGUGCGGCUCAGACCAGAUUGCCUGCCUCGGUGUUCCCUCCCCCAUCCAGCUCCCUUAAAGGGAGAUAGACAUCCUUUCUGUUUCCAUGGGACUCGGUUUGAACCCAGGGCCUCUUGCACAAUAGGCAAAUUCUCUACACCCAUCCCUACAUCCUCAGCCCAUUUCUCCCCUUUUCCUUUUGAGAACAUGUCUCACUAAAUUGCCUAGGCUGGCCUCGAACUUGCAGCAGGAUCCUCCUGCUUUAAUCUCUGAACAACUGGGACUACAGGAUUACACCCGCACAAGGGGUAGAACUGCCCUCUCUCUCCUGUGCUCUGCUAGGACCUUAGCUUUGUGCAUCCUUUCCAGUAGCUACACCGGCCAUCUAGCAGCACAAAAGAUUAAGUAAGUGAAACUUGUUGGCCAAAGAAAGAAGAGAGACCACUUUCUCUUUUCAGAGACGUCUGAAAUGUCCUGGUUCUUCUUACUGUUCCUUUGGGGGUAGGGGAAUAGUCAAAAUGGGUUUGGACAUUGGAGAGACUUAGUCACCUCCUGGUUAGAAAGAGGAAGCUCCAUGGAUUUGGGCACAAUUGCCAGCCAUUUGGUGGCUCCUUCACGGAGGCCUGUACCCAGGUCUGUUCGGGAAUCCUCCACUGCCCCAGAAGCGGUCCCUUCCCCAAGCAGCUGGCAAUGCAGGCCCAGCUCUUGGUGGCUCCGGAUGAGCAGUCAACGCCAGCUUACCCCAAGGCCUCAACGAACCUUGAAUGAUCUUGACCUAAGAGGGCGCCCAAGGGUGAUGGGGCGGCCCUGCGGAGAAGCCCACCGACCCAUCCCGAAACGUUCUCCACACAAAGUCCGGUCCUCAGCUUCUCGCUCCAGCGGAGCCGGUGGAGUCGGCUGAAGCUUGUCGCCUUUUGCGCUCCGGCUGCGCCCCCGAGUCACCCGGGCGCCCCUCCGCUUUCGCGCCCGUGUCCCCGGGGAGGGAGCUGAUCGGCGCCCGGGACAACGGCCCCGUGGCAGCCAGUGAGCCCCAAAUUCAGGGCGCAUCCUCCGGCCGUCUAGGCGGCCCUGGCUCCAGGAGUGGAGCGGAGCCGAGGAGGCUCUGGGCUCCCGGCGUGCGCCCGGGUCGAGUGGCCACGACCCUGGGAGGCCGCGGGAGGCUGGGGGGUGGGGACAGGCCGAGGUCGCGGCUCCUCCAGCCCCUUCCGCCGCCCCUCCUCUCGCCUUCCUCGCCCUCUCUUCCCAGGCCGGCCCGCGAGGCCGCUGGCUGGGCCUUUCACCUUCAAGCAAAGCUAUGAAGUAGCGGUCGCUACGGCUCCAGGCGCCCAGCGGGGCCAGGGGCGCCGCGCACUCCUGCCAGCCCGGCCUCGCCUCGUGGGACCCGGGGCGGGACACGCUCCGGGGACGAGGCCUGCGGGCCACACUCCCGUCCGCCCGCCCGAAUUCAGGGCGAGUCCGGCCCGGGACUCUGCAGCGGCCCCGGACGGGGAGAGUGGGGCAGGGCCUCGCCUCUCCGAGGGAUGGAGGGGAUGGAGGCGGCGGCCAAGCCCGCGCGCCGCUCUCAAGCAUCCAGGCCAGGGAGCACAACAAGCCCCACGCAAGUGACUCCAGCCAUGGCCAGAGAUGGCGCUGAGCAGCCAGACAGUGGACCUCUCCCGAGACCUUCACCCUGCCCCCAGGAAGACCGAGCAUCUAACCUGAUGCCCCCCAAGCCUCCCAGGACAUGGGGGCUGCAGCUCCAAGGUCCUUCUGUGCUGGAGUCCAAGGUAAAGGCCUUGAAGGAGAAAAUGACAGCAGGAAAACAAGGGACAGAUCCCCGUCCCACUUCCUAUGAGCGUCCAUCCCCUACAAAAUCCAAAUGCCACCAAGUCAAGACUGGAGUAGCCUGGAGCCUACCAGAUGCCCUGGUGGUCCCCCAUGCUCAGAACCCUAAUGAUGGACAUCUGGCCAGACAUGUUAAUGAGAAGAAACCUGCCAGGAACAGUGGAUCCAAGCCAUCUACCCCUGAGAGCUGGAAUGAACAAAGCCCGUGGUCUCCAGAAGCAGUGUGGAUGCCGGCUGAUCAUGAGGAGGACCCAGUAGCAGGGUCUGGCUCUUUACAAGAAAGUCCCAACAAUCGAGUUUCUGCAGUCCAGCCACAGCGGCCUGGUCCCUGUAAAACCACCCCCUUGAGCAGCCAGAAGAAGAGAAGACAAUACCCGCUCGGAGAUGGGAUAGUCACAAAGGAAGAUCUGGACAGCACAACCCUAACCUCUAAGGAGGAUUUGAUCCCUAGAACAGACCAGCCAGAGACAUUCUGGAGAGCUCAGGGCCUGGAGGCUCUGGGCUCUGUGGCAAAUGCUUUGUCCCUGUCUGACAGGGUAGAGAGGAACCGCCUCCUGUUGCAGGAGAUACUGAAGGUUUCCAGACAGAGUCCUCCCAAAGCAGGGAGCCCAGACUGGACAUCCUGGGACCGAGAUGCAUCAGAGCGACCAGCGGGAGACGUGGACUGGGACUCGGGCACCCCCCAGCAGGACUCAGGUCAGAGCAGGACCUUUGUUCCCAAGCUGGAGCCUACACUGAGUGCCAGGCAUGAGGAAGCCAAGAAUCUGCUUCGGCGUGCUCGCAUGAAGGCCAAGACCCAACCGCUCCGAGCCAGCCAUGAUAUCGUGCCCACCAUUGCUCAGGGCUGCCGAAAUGGCCAGAGAAGCCCAGCCCCGGAAUUGAGGACCACCUCUGCCUACAGAGAGAACCUCCAGAAUGGGAACUUGAAUGACCCCUCCAGCAUAGAGUCCAGCAAUGGGCAGUGGCCCAAGCAAGAAAUGCCCCUGUCUCAUGUCCGUUUUGAAGAUGAGUCUGCCCACGAGGCUGAAUUCCGGUACCUGGACCGGCUUCAGCAGCGCCAGCGUCAAGUGUUAAGCACAGUGCUCCAUGCUGUGGACCAAGGACCUCUACGCUCCAAACCCGACCUAACCAACUACAUUAACCGCAUUGUAGGGAAUAGCUCAUUUCAUAGGGCCGUGGGCUGCCUGGACCAGAGUAACUUCCCUGUACCACCACCUCCUUGGGACAAUGAGAGGAAGUGUCCAGCCUGUGGCAGCUGUCUGGAGGAGCGUUGCCCUGCUGAGGAGAGGGCAGCCUCUGACCUGAGAGUCCUCCGGAGUCUCCAGGCUGCCUGUGAGGCAGAGGCAGUACUGCUGGGGCCCUGUAAUUCCCAUGGUCUGAGCUCCCCAUUCCCAGGGCUCCACACAGAAUGGAUCCGGGAAACACACAUCACAGACACUGUUGCCACACACCCUGAGGAAGAGGAGGACUCUGCCCUGGACAGCACCCACAGUUCAGACAGCUGGAAAGAUGGUACUGAUGCCAGGACCUCUCAGUCUAGCAGGGCAGGUGAGCAGAUCCGAGUGAGCAGCCCCCAGCAGCGGUGGCAUGGGUCUAGGCCCCAGGGAGGUCCCAGGUGGUCCAGAAAGGCUGAGGCGGAGCUGCCCUGCGGCCUUCAGGCCUGGUCUCACCUGCCCCAGCUUGAUGAUGGGGUUGUAGGAGGGGAGGGGAGAGAAGCCAGUGGACACAUACCUCAGGGGACUCUGUUUCCAGAGGAAGAUGCUGUGCCUAAACCUGCCUUGGAACCUAAGAGACCUUGGUCCCAGGGGCAGCUUGGACCUCGGUCAGGAAGUCACUGUGCCCACCCCGAGGACUGCAGAUCUCCAUGCAGGACAGCUUAUGCUGUGCCGUUUUCCAAGACACGUGGGUCCUCAGGAUCAGGCCAACCACCAGACCAAGUUCCUGAAAGCCAUGAGUCUCUGAAAACUCUCUGCACUUCUCCCCUCCAACGGAGCCAUGAAGAGCCCUCUGCACCCCUCCCAGCCUCACAGUCAACAUUGACCCUCCCCGAGGAAGUGCCAACCCCUCCUUCUUUGAGGAAAUCCCUCUGCCCUAUGCCUCCGAGGAAGUCAGUCCAGAAGGGGCAUCACUGGCAGGAACACCAGGCAGAGCAUAUGGAUAGCCCCCUGCCUGUGUCCCCUCCAAGAACUGUGGUUCUCACGCGACCCCAACCCCAACCCUGUAGCCCCCAAGUCAAGCAUCCACUGCUGGACCUGUUCAACAACAACUCCAGCAGCAGCAUCCCUCUAGGGCUGCAGGGGCCCUCAGGAGUGGCUGUCCACAGGAAUAGAUCUGAAAAGGACCAGUGCUGUCAGGAGCCUGUGCUGCCUCUGGAGAGCAAUGGAGAUGUUUCCAGUUUAGCAGAUGCUCAAGGAUGAGCCCCGCCUCCUUCACUGACUGCUUCCUGGGCUUCUACUGCUUCUGCUCCUACGGCUCCCACCUCUCCCCGGCAUCUCCUGCUCCUCAGGAACACUCCAGGACUCUCUCCAGUCAGUGGAUAUCGCCACUGUCAACUCUACAGCCAUCACCCUCGCCCUUACCUCAGAGGAGCCUGAGCGCAGCCAGGAGUGGGGAGGAGGUUCACAGAGGACAGGAUCCAGCUCUGGGGGCCAUGUGCCCACUGGAGCAUCACUUGAGGCCAGUGCAGGGCACAGGUCACCCUCAAGCACCCAUUCUGAUGGGAACAAGAAAAGGAGGAGUAGCAUUACCUCUGCCCUGGGGCUCAAAAAGCUUUUCUCAGCCCUGGGCCACACACCCCAGCCCAGACUUGGCCCAUCCCGAAGCUACAGUGUGGAACAACUGCAGCCCUCAGCCCUGGCUCCACAGACCAGCACCCCCAAAGUGAAAAGAGCCCCAUCGUUACAGACCCUGCAUCUGGUGUCAUCCUCCCAUCAGCAUCGGAGAGCAACUUCCUUCCAGAACCUCCAUUCUCUGCUAGGUGGCAAGGGAGACCGGUCCAGCCUCUACCUGGUAGAGGGGUCAGGGGACAGCAGUGGACCCAGCAGGCCAGCCAAGGCCUUUCCCCAUCGUGCCCUCAGUGUGGAAGAUGUGGGUGCCCCUAGCCUGGCUCGUACUGUGGGCCGCGUGGUGGAGGUGUUCCCAGAUGGCACGAGCCAGCUGCAGCUGCAGCGACCCCCAAAGGGCACCUUUGGAUUCCAUGUAGCCCAUGGCAGUGGCCGGCGAGACUCAGGGCUCUAUGUGCAGGCCAUGGCUGACCUGGACACCGCGAAGCUGUACUCGGGGCUGCUCAGGGUCGGGGAUGAGAUUCUGGAGGUGGGCGGGGCCAAGGUUGCUGGACUGGGCUUGGCUCACAUCAAAGAGCUACUGGCUCAUGCGGAGAGCUUGUCCAUUCGUGUCCUGAGACAAAGGCCGGUCCCCCAGUGACCCAGAAGUACCGCUGCUCUUGCUGACACUCCUACAGGACCCCUGACCCACACACGCAGCAGGAGGGGCUAGAAACAUGCCACCCAGAGAUAACAUGUGAACGGAAAAUGCAGUUCACAGAUCAGGCAUCUGUCUGGGCAGUGGCAGAAGCUGUUCUGAUCGGCCCCCUGCAGGAAGAGGCCGAGUACCCGUGUGUACGUUCAGUUAAGAUCACUAAUUUAUACAGGUCUAGAGACAGAGAAUCCUGGUCUCCUCCUUCACAGAAGUGGUCACGUUCCUUUGUUGGAGGGAGAGAACUGCCACUGACUAAUCCUUGGGUUGGUCCCUGAGAGCUGGCCUCAGCUUCUGGCCACACUCACUGAGAAGGCUCCCCAGCCCCCAGCAAACCAGAGACAGCGUGGCCACCCUGGCUUUGUGCCCCAUCUCUUUCAGCCGUGGCUUUCCUGGUUUCCAUGUGACACUUUGCUUCUGAUCCAGAAAGGGCUCAGUGUCUUGGCACAGCCUGACAGCCAGGAGCACAUAUUCCUAACUGUGUGUUCUGUGAAAUAUGGCCUGACAGGAGUUCUGUGCCCCUUCUGGGUAUGCAAACUUCUGAGAGAUUCUGGGAGCCAGAAUAUUAAGAAUUACUAGAGAUUUUUAUGACCAACACAAAGUUGAAAAAUGAAACUAUUGCCAUUUGCAGCAAGUGUGGCCAUGGUACUAAGGAUGUGGGGGGCCGGCCCAGCCAGCCCUUUGCCUCCACCCCUGCUAGACAGAGGUUGUUGCAGCCUGGCCUGGGCGGGCCUUUGUCUUUGUUCUCUUGUCCAGCUUGGAGCCAGGGCUGCAGCUGGUGUCUGGCUCUCCCCCAGCUGCAGGGUUCCUAUCCAGACCUCCCUGGUGGCAGCUGUGGGUGGGCAGCAGGCAGGGAGGCUGCGAGCUGGAGGUGGCCAUCCCACCUAGGCAUAGCGCAGCCUGCUCAGCUUAGAUCCUGCUCAAGGGCUGGGGACGCUAGAUGCCUGGACAGGCGUCAGUCUUAAAUUAUUAAAAAGCCAAAGCUGCUUUCACUGGAA